rnacentral:rRNA from 1 species
UUUGCCGGGAUGAUAGGCAUGCAGUCGACGAAUCCCACCUUUGUAGCAAUACCGAGGUGGGGGAAGUGGCGAAAGGGGCAGUAAUGCAUGGGUAACCUACCUUGGGGAUGGGCAUAGCCGUUCUAACGAACGGGUAAUUCCCAGCGAUUUGGCGGAGAGGCAUCUCUCUGCCAGGAAAUGAGUUUCGCCUCGAGAGGGGCCCAUGUCGUAUUAGCUAGUUGGUGGGGUAACGGCCUACCAAGGCAAAGAUGCGUAGCGGGUGUGAGAGCACGACCCGCGCCACUGGCACUGAGACACUGGCCAGACACCUACGGGUGGCUGCAGUCGAGGAUCUUCGUCAAUGGGCGCAAGCCUGAACGAGCGACGCCGCGUGAGCGAUGAAGGCCUUCGGGUUGUAAAGCUCGAAAGUGGGGAGAAAGCCGCAAGGUUGAUCAAUCCACAGUAAGGACGGGCUAAGUUCGUGCCAGCAGCCGCGGUAAGACGAACUGUCCUAACGUUGUUCGGAAUCACUGGGCUUAAAGGGCGCGUAGGCGGUCGAUCAAGUCAGGGGUGAAAUCCUGCAGCUUAACUGUAGAAGUGCCUUUGAUACUGGUCGUCUCGAGGGAGGUAGGGGUGUGUGGAACUUCCAGUGGAGCGGUGAAAUGCGUUGAUAUUGGAAGGAACGCCGGAGGCGAAAGCGACGCACUGGACCUCUUCUGACGCUGAGGCGCGAAAGCUAGGGGAGCGAACGGGAUUAGAAACCCCGGUAGUCCUAGCCGUAAACGAUGUAGACUGGGUGUUGGCGGGGUAAAAGCCGUCAGUGCCGAAGCAAACGCGAUAAGUCUACCGCCUGGGGACUACGGCCGCAAGGUUAAAACUCAAAGGAAUUGACGG